rnacentral:rRNA from 1 species
UACGUAGGGGGGCUAGCGUUGUCCGGAUUUAUUGGGGCGUAAAGAGCGUGUAGGCGGCCAGGUAGGUCUGCUGUGAAAACUCGAGGCUCAACCUCGAGACGUCGGCGGAAACCAUCUGGCUAGAGUCCGGAAGAGGAGAGUGGAAUUCCUGGUGUAGCGGUGAAAUGCGCAGAUAUCAGGAAGAACACCCGUGGCGAAGGCGGCUCUCUGGGACGGUA